GUUAUAUGGUCAAGUGAAGAAGCGCAUACGGUGGAUGCCUUGGCAGUCAGAGGCGAUGAAAGACGUGGUAGCCUGCGAAAAGCUUCGGGGAGUCGGCAAACAGACUUUGAUCCGGAGAUCUCUGAAUGGGGGAACCCACCUAGGAUAACCUAGGUAUCUUGUACUGAAUCCAUAGGUGCAAGAGGCGAACCAGGGGAACUGAAACAUCUAAGUACCCUGAGGAAAAGAAAUCAACCGAGAUUCCCUUAGUAGUGGCGAGCGAACGGGGAUUAGCCCUUAAGCUUCAUUGAUUUUAGCGGAACGCUCUGGAAAGUGCGGCCAUAGUGGGUGAUAGCCCGUACGCGAAAGGAUCUUUGAAGUGAAAUCGAGUAGGACGGAGCACGAGAAACUUUGUCUGAACAUGGGGGGACCAUCCUCCAAGGCUAAAUACUACUGACUGACCGAUAGUGAACCAGUACCGUGAGGGAAAGGCGAAAAGAACCCCGGAGAGGGGAGUGAAAUAGAACCUGAAACCGUAUGCGUACAAGCAGUGGGAGCCUACUUGUUAGGUGACUGCGUACCUUUUGUAUAAUGGGUCAGCGACUUAUAUUCAGUGGCAAGCUUAACCGUAUAGGGUAGGCGUAGCGAAAGCGAGUCUUAAUAGGGCGUUUAGUCGCUGGGUAUAGACCCGAAACCGGGCGAUCUAUCCAUGAGCAGGUUGAAGGUUAGGUAACACUGACUGGAGGACCGAACCCACUCCCGUUGAAAAGGUAGGGGAUGACUUGUGGAUCGGAGUGAAAGGCUAAUCAAGCUCGGAGAUAGCUGGUUCUCCUCGAAAGCUAUUUAGGUAGCGCCUCAUGUAUCACUCUGGGGGGUAGAGCACUGUUUCGGCUAGGGGGUCAUCCCGACUUACCAAACCGAUGCAAACUCCGAAUACCCAGAAGUGCCGAGCAUGGGAGACACACGGCGGGUGCUAACGUCCGUCGUGAAAAGGGAAACAACCCAGACCGCCAGCUAAGGUCCCAAAGUUGUGGUUAAGUGGUAAACGAUGUGGGAAGGCUUAGACAGCUAGGAGGUUGGCUUAGAAGCAGCCACCCUUUAAAGAAAGCGUAAUAGCUCACUAGUCGAGUCGGCCUGCGCGGAAGAUGUAACGGGGCUCAAACCACACACCGAAGCUGCGGGUGUCACGUAAGUGACGCGGUAGAGGAGCGUUCUGUAAGCCUGUGAAGGUGAGUUGAGAAGCUUGCUGGAGGUAUCAGAAGUGCGAAUGCUGACAUGAGUAACGACAAUGGGUGUGAAAAACACCCACGCCGAAAGACCAAGGGUUCCUGCGCAACGUUAAUCGACGCAGGGUUAGUCGGUUCCUAAGGCGAGGCUGAAAAGCGUAGUCGAUGGGAAACAGGUUAAUAUUCCUGUACUUCUGGUUACUGCGAUGGAGGGACGGAGAAGGCUAGGCCAGCUUGGCGUUGGUUGUCCAAGUUUAAGGUGGUAGGCUGAAAUCUUAGGUAAAUCCGGGUUUCAAGGCCGAGAGCUGAUGACGAGUCGUCUUUUAGAUGACGAAGUGGUUGAUGCCAUGCUUCCAAGAAAAGCUUCUAAGCUUCAGGUAACCAGGAACCGUACCCCAAACCGACACAGGUGGUCGGGUAGAGAAUACCAAGGCGCUUGAGAGAACUCGGGUGAAGGAACUAGGCAAAAUGGCACCGUAACUUCGGGAGAAGGUGCGCCGGCUAGGGUGAAGGAUUUACUCCGUAAGCUCUGGCUGGUCGAAGAUACCAGGCCGCUGCGACUGUUUAUUAAAAACACAGCACUCUGCAAACACGAAAGUGGACGUAUAGGGUGUGACGCCUGCCCGGUGCCGGAAGGUUAAUUGAUGGGGUUAGCGCAAGCGAAGCUCUUGAUCGAAGCCCCGGUAAACGGCGGCCGUAACUAUAACGGUCCUAAGGUAGCGAAAUUCCUUGUCGGGUAAGUUCCGACCUGCACGAAUGGCGUAACGAUGGCGGCGCUGUCUCCACCCGAGACUCAGUGAAAUUGAAAUCGCUGUGAAGAUGCAGUGUAUCCGCGGCUAGACGGAAAGACCCCGUGAACCUUUACUGUAGCUUUGCACUGGACUUUGAGCCUGCUUGUGUAGGAUAGGUGGGAGGCUUUGAAGCGUGGACGCCAGUUCGCGUGGAGCCAUCCUUGAAAUACCACCCUGGCAUGCUUGAGGUUCUAACUCUGGUCCGUGAUCCGGAUCGAGGACAGUGUAUGGUGGGCAGUUUGACUGGGGCGGUCUCCUCCUAAAGAGUAACGGAGGAGUACGAAGGUGCGCUCAGACCGGUCGGAAAUCGGUCGCAGAGUAUAAAGGCAAAAGCGCGCUUGACUGCGAGACAGACACGUCGAGCAGGUACGAAAGUAGGUCUUAGUGAUCCGGUGGUUCUGUAUGGAAGGGCCAUCGCUCAACGGAUAAAAGGUACUCCGGGGAUAACAGGCUGAUACCGCCCAAGAGUUCAUAUCGACGGCGGUGUUUGGCACCUCGAUGUCGGCUCAUCACAUCCUGGGGCUGAAGCCGGUCCCAAGGGUAUGGCUGUUCGCCAUUUAAAGUGGUACGCGAGCUGGGUUUAGAACGUCGUGAGACAGUUCGGUCCCUAUCUGCCGUGGACGUUUGAGAUUUGAGAGGGGCUGCUCCUAGUACGAGAGGACCGGAGUGGACGAACCUCUGGUGUUCCGGUUGUCACGCCAGUGGCAUUGCCGGGUAGCUAUGUUCGGAAAAGAUAACCGCUGAAAGCAUCUAAGCGGGAAACUUGCCUCAAGAUGAGAUCUCACUGGGAACUUGAUUCCCCUGAAGGGCCGUCGAAGACUACGACGUUGAUAGGCUGGGUGUGUAAGCGUUGUGAGGCGUUGAGCUAACCAGUACUAAUUGCCCGUGAGGCUUGACCAUAUAACACCCAAACA
rnacentral:rRNA from 1 species